GAUGAACGCUGGCGGCGUGCUUAACACAUGCAAGUCGAACGAAGAUGCCGGAGUGCUUGCACUUUGGCAGACUGAGUGGCGGACGGGUGAGUAACGCGUGGGUAACCUGCCUUAUACAGGGGGAUAACAGUUGGAAACGACUGCUAAUACCGAAUAAGUUCCAAGAGCCGCAUGGCCCAUGGAAGAAAAGGUGGCCUCUACCUGUAAGCUAUCGCCUGAAGAGGGGUUUGCGUCUGAUUAGCUGGUUGAGGGGUAACGGGCCCGACCCAAGGCGACGAUCAGUAGCCGGUCUGAGAGGGUGAACGGCCACAUUGGGACUGAGACACGGCCCAAACUCCUACGGGAGGCAGCAGUGGGGAAGUAUUGCACAAUGGGGGAAACCCGUGAUGCAGCGACGCCGCGUGAGUGAAGAAGUAUUCGGUAUGUAAAGACUCUAUCAG
rnacentral:rRNA from 1 species